rnacentral:rRNA from 1 species
GGAUUAGAUACCCUGGUAGUCCUAGCAGUAAACGAUGCCUACUGGAUCGGAGGUCUUCUGACAGAGUUCCGGUCGUAACAAAAGCGUUAAGUAGGCCGCCUGGGGAGUACGGUCGCAAGGCUAAAACUCAAAGGAAUUGACGGGGGCUCACACAAGCGGUGGAGCAUGUUGCUUAAUUCGAUGCAACGCGAAGAACCUUAUCCUGGGCUUGACAUGCUUGUAUACCCUCCUGGAAACAGGUCGGGUUGCCCUUCGGGGUGAAACUUGCACAGGUGCUGCAUGGCUGUCGUCAGCUCGUGCUG